ACUGCUCAGUAACACGUCGAUAAUCUGCCCUAAGGUCAGGGAUAACUACGGGAAACUGUGGCUAAUAUCUGAUAAGGAAAGAACACUGGAAUGUUUCUUUUCUCAAAUUCGAGCCUUAGGAUGAGUUGGCGGCCGAUUAGGCAGUUGGCGGUGUAACGGACCACCAAACCAAAGAUCGGUACGGGCCCUGAGAGGGGUAGCCCGGAGAGGGACACUGAGAUACUGGUCCCAGCCCUACGGGGUGCAGCAGGCGCGAAAACUUUACAAUGCACGAAAGUGUGAUAAGGGAAUCCUGAGUGCUCAGGCAUUGCCUGGGCUUUUGCCAUAUGUAAAUAGUAUGGCGAAUAAGUAGUGGGUAAGACUGGUGCCAGCCGCCGCGGUAACACCAGCGCUACAAGUGGCAAUCACAUUUAUUGGGCCUAAAGCGUCCGUAGCAGGUUUUGUAAAUUUUUUGUGAAACUGCCAAGCUUAACUUGGCAAUGUGCAGGAAACACUGCAAGACUUGAGACCGGGAAGGGUCGGAGGUAUUCCUGAGGGAGCGGUAAAAUGCUAUAAUCUCAGGAGGACCACCGGUGGCGAAGGCGUCCGACUAGAACGGGUCUGACUGUGAGGGACGAAAGCCAGGGGAGCAAACCGGAUUAGAUACCCGAGUAGUCCUGGCUGUAAACGCUGUGAGCUAGGUGUCGCGCAUUCUACGGGAAUGCGCGGUGUCGUAAGGAAGCUACUAAGCUCACCGCCUGGGAAGUACGGUCGCAAGACUGAAACUUUAAGGAAUUGGCGGGGGAGCA
rnacentral:rRNA from 1 species